UGAGGAAUAUUGCGCAAUGGGGGAAACCCUGACGCAGCGACGCCGCGUGGAUGAUGAAGGCCUUCGGGUCGUAAAAUCCUGUCAGAUGGGAAGAAGUACUAUGUACUUAAUACGUAUGUAGUUUGACGGUACCAUCAAAGGAAGCACCGGCUAACUCCGUGCCAGCAGCCGCGGUAAUACGGAGGGUGCAAGCGUUGUUCGGAAUUACUGGGCGUAAAGCGCGCGUAGGCGGCUUUUUAAGUCAGAUGUGAAAGUCCACGGCUCAACCGUGGAAGUGCAUUUGAAACUGGGGAGCUUGAGUACUGGAGGGGGUGGUGGAAUUCCCGGUGUAGAGGUGAAAUUCGUAGAUAUCGGGAGGAAUACCGGUGGCGAAGGCGACCACCUGGCCAGAUACUGACGCUGAGGUGCGAAAGCGUGGGGAGCAAACAGGAUUAGAUACCCGCGUAGUCC
rnacentral:rRNA from 1 species